AUGGCGCGGUCCCUCCGCUCCAGAUCUGAAGGUCGAGCUCCUCCUCCUCCUCUGCUCACUCCUCCCCUCCGGCUGUGUCCGAUCUGCAGCUUUUGCUGUCAGUUCCGGUGCUGGCGGGGUGCCGGUGGCAUAUCUCGAGUCCGGGGGAAACCCUUGGUCGGUUCUCCGACCACGGCGGUGAGGGUGCGUGCGCGCAUCGCCUUUCUUCCUUCGAGGCACCGCGGAGGUCUCCCGUAUCCAUCCCCGUCCCAGAUCCCGGGUGAAAGCCCAAAACUCGUCUCGGGUUGGGCGGUGGCGGCGUCCUGCACGUCGUUCCCUCCUUGGAGGCGCCGCCUUGGGUUUGUCUGGUUCUACGGGUGA
rnacentral:rRNA from 1 species